ensembl:lncRNA
AGCUGAGACUACUUCUAUCAAGAGCAUUCUGUGAUCUGAGAAUGGGCUGGAUCAGUACAGGUGGUUUGAGAAGACACUGAUGAGGACCAUGGAAAGGUGGGAGAGGACGUGCGGCUUCUCUGCUUCCUUUGAACAGAGCUCUAGGCACCACAAGGCCACAUAAGGAGGGUGAGGUCCCUGGAGUGGACUAUAUUUUCAUCACUGUUGAAGAUUUUAUGGAAUUGGAGAAAAGUGGUGCUCUUCUAGAAAGUGGAACUUAUGAAGGUAAGCACAGCUCUACUGCUGAAUUUAUUUUUCUCCUUUGAGUGAAAUACACUGGAAUACCAGCUUACCAGUGCAUUAUUAUUUGGUUUGAGAGCUUUAAUAAGGUCACUGUAGAAGCAUAUUUCCUAAAGAAAAUGUAAAAUACAUCUGGGUUAAUCCUACUCUUAAGACGCCAAAAGAAAUGUAUGUAUAUAUACCCACUGAAGUAUCCUUGUGAUUACCUCCAGAAGCUAAGCUCUGAUCUUCCAAAUAAAUUAUCUUCAUUUCUAGGUAGCGUUUAAAAGAGCACAGGGCUUGAGUUCCAGCCCUGUUAUUACCUCUGUAUGGUUUUCUCAAGUUCUUUCACUUGACUUGCCUUCACUCACCUCUCUUUCAAAAUGAUGGUGUAAGGAAAUACAAUUGGUGGUUAAAGUCCAAAGCUCUCCUUGUGUACCUGUGUCAAAUCUGAACCUAUGAGCUAAAACCUUGAAUGUAGGAAGUAUGUUUCAGUGGAAAGAGCACUAUAACCUAAGCCAGAAUCUGCCUCAAUUCCAAGUCUGGCUUUACUACCUAUCCAUGGGUAUCUACCCAUGUAGUAUCUCUGGACCUCAGUUAUCUUAACUGUAAAAGAAGAAUACAACAUUAAAAAAUACAAAUAAAUAACAUGAUCACAUUUAUAUAUUUAAAUUAUAUCUACAUGCAUGCAGUUUACGUCUAAUGAAAAAAUACAUCUGUGUAUAUAUGAUGACAUUUUAAAAUAAUACAACUAAAAAUAGUAGAAAAUAAUGCUUUAAUUUCUACAUCACAGUUAUUACAUGUGUAAACUGUAUUUAUAUGUAUUAAGUCCAAAGAUGAAUCUAGUUUUACUGAACCACAAUUAAUAACGAGUGAUAUUAAAAACACAACUUGUAAUAUAUUCUGUGCUACUAGCCCAUCAAAUAGCAGCUAAACUGGGUUUGUAUACAUUUUGGCCCUCCAUUUCUCCUUCAUUUACUUGUAGAUGUCCAGUAGUCUAUUGUUUAUAAAAACGCAGUAGUUUUCAGUUGUCACAGGUAUUAAAAUCUCCUUUCACUUCACCCUCUUAAGGCAAUUUAGGCUGAGACACACACCCAAGUUAUAGCUCAGAUAUUUUGUUGCUUAUUGCCACAUUCAUAGGAAAUAGGCAAAAAUGCCCAGGGUGGGGAAAUGGUUUGAUACAUGAGUGUUGUUUCUUCUUAUUAUUGUCAAAAAUGAAUGAUAGUGGAGAUCUAUUGAAAAUAUUAUAUUAAUUUAUUUUUUUAUUAAAGAGUAUUUGAUUUAUAAUAUUGUAUUAGUUUCAGGUACACAGCAUAGUGACUCAGUAUUUUUACAGAUUAUACUCCAUUAAAAGCUAUUGCAAGAAAAUGGCUAUAAUUCCCUGUGCUAUAUAUUAUAUCUGUGUUUAUUUCAUACAUAGUACUUAAAUAAAAAAUUGUGUUAAUCACAUAAGCUACUUUAAAUUAUGUAUGAAAAAUAGCUAUAUAAAUCAUAGAAAAUGAUUAUAUCAAAGAUGUCAGAGUACAUUAAAAAUAAGUUCUAUAGAAUAUUUUCCUAUGGGCUUUGCAGCAUUGUUUAGUGACAUCCAUUAGUUUUCAUGUCUGCCAAUAAUAAUAAUCUUGUAUUUAGAUACCUUAUUUAAAUACCAGGUUUAUGCAGUAAAGAACCAAUGGAUUAAUAUACAUGGGCAUUCCAAGAGUAAUAUGAUUAACAGUAUGGCCUUUUCUUUUUGUUUUUGAAAAUAAAGAUUGUAUUUGCUGUAUAGAAGAUGAAAAAAAUAAACCAAAUAUUCAUAUUAAAUUUCGCAUAUUCUCAUAAUAAACUAGAUGUCAGGAAGUUUAAUAUCACUAUGUUAAAAUAUAGCCUAUCUUAAAUUUUAAGUUUUAGUUAAAUUUUGAAGGAAAUAUCCUGAAACCAUAUGAACAUAACCAAAUUUCUUGAGCCAGUGUCGGUUGCUCUGAAUAUUCUUUAUUUUUUCAGCACCAAGAGUGCAGUUUGCUAAGUUAGUGCCAAAUUGUUAGUUGCUCCAGUGAGUAUAGAGCAGAUUAUUGGAUAAUAAUGUUGAUUUACACAUAGGACUCUGGGGAAUUGGUACCAUUAUGUACUUGGUUGCAUGAGAAGCUCUUUUCACAGGUCACAUAGCCAUCUGGGUGGACACCUAGGGAGCAUUCUCUAAUCUCAGGAUCUUCAGAUUCUCCUACAGUUACAGCUGAGGAACCAGUAGAAUUGGCAUUAAAAACCACUGCUAUUUCUUUAGGAUUGAUCACAAGCUCUAGGUUCAGAGCUACCUGAGUUAUUUGUGUUAUUUGUCAAGGAAAUUUAGGGAAUGCCUUUUUUGCUGUCGGUGCUUUCAGAACAUAGAGUAACAAUUAUGUACAACUCAACUACAUAAAGACCAGAGCGCUUUUAUAUUUGUCAGACUUUAAUGAUAUCAUUCUCUCAUAAAGUUUUUUUUUUAAUAAAAUGCCAGUUUCUCUUUUAUAUGUUCUCCCUUCUGCAGUGUUUGGGCCACUGUUCCCUUUCUUCCUCCCUGCUAGACCAUUCUUAUGUCUUUCUUUAGAACUCUUUAGAGCUUUGAGCUCUGAUAUCUGUGAAUCCACUAAAGAAAUUAAAAAAAAAAAAA